GCCAGGUGCAGUGGCAUAUGCCUGUAAUCCCAGUGGCCAGGAGGCUGAGGCAGGAGGAUCAAGAGUACAAAGCAGGCCUUAGCAAAGUGAGGUGUUAAGCAACUCAGUGAGACCCUGUCUCUA
rnacentral:sRNA from 1 species